rnacentral:rRNA from 1 species
CAGAUGUGAAAUCCAAUGGCUCAACCAUUGAACUGCAUUUGAAACUGCUAGACUAGAGUAUGGGAGGGGGAGAUGGAAUUAGUGGUGUAGGGGUAAAAUCCGUAGAUAUCACUAGGAAUACCUAAAGCGAAGGCGAUCUCCUGGAACAUAACUGACGCUAAG